rnacentral:rRNA from 1 species
AGUGAACGCUGGCGAUAGGCCUAACACAUGCAAGUCGAACGGCAGCACAGUAAGAGCUUGCUCUUACGGGUGGCGAGUGGCGGACGGGUGAGGAAUACAUCGGAAUCUACUUUUUCGUGGGGGAUAACGUAGGGAAACUUACGCUAAUACCGCAUACGACCUACGGGUGAAAGCAGGGGAUCUUCGGCCCUUGCGCGAUUGAAUGAGCCGAUGUCGGAUUAGCUAGUUGGCGGGGUAAAGGCCCACCAAGGCGACGAUCCGUAGCUGGUCUGAGAGGAUGAUCAGCCACACUGGAACUGAGACACGGUCCAGACUCCUACGGGAGGCAGCAGUGGGGAAUAUUGGACAAUGGGCGCAAGCCUGAUCCAGCCAUACCGCGUGGGUGAAGAAGGCCUUCGGGUUGUAAAGCCCUUUUGUUGGGAAAGAAAAGCAGCAGGUUAAUACCCCGCUGUUCUGACGGUACCCAAAGAAUAAGCACCGGCUAACUUCGUG